UACGAAGGGGGCUAGCGUUGUUCGGAAUGACUGGGCGUAAAGGGCGCGUAGGCGGCGCAUCAAGUCGGGCGUGAAAGCCCCGGGCUCAACCUGGGAACUGCGUUCGAGACUGAUGUGCUAGAGUUCGGGAGAGGAGAGUGGAAUUCCCAGUGUAGAGGUGAAAUUCGUAGAUAUUGGGAAGAACACCAAUGGCGAAGGCAGCUCUCUGGACCGAUACUGACGCUGAGGCGCGAAAGCGUGGGGAGCAAACAGG
rnacentral:rRNA from 1 species